rnacentral:lncRNA from 8 species
GUGAAGUAAAAGUAAAAGUUGUCAAAUAUAUACAUUGUAAAGUAAAGUGCAGAUACGAAAAAAACCGACUUAAUAAGUAGUACUUUCAGGUAGUUUUACCUAAGCACAUUAUGGACAGUAUAUGAAUAGAGCAGUAGACCUCGACUAGAAUACAGUAAAGUACGGAGCUGUGAGGGGAACGGCACCUCCGUACCUUCAGGCUCUGAUCAGGCCCUACACCCAAACAAGGGCACUGCGUUCAUCCACCUCUGGCCUGCUCGCCUCCCUACCUCUGAGGAAGCACAGUUCCCGCUCAGCCCAGUCAAAACUGUUCGCUGCUCUGGCACCCCAAUGGUGGAACAAGCUCCCUCACGACGCCAGGACAGCGGAGUCAAUCACCACCUUCCGGAGACACCUGAAACCCCACCUCUUUAAGGAAUACCUAGGAUAGGAUAAAGUAAUCCUUCUAACCCCCCCCCCCCCUAAAAGAUUUAGAUACACUAUUGUAAAGUGGUUGUUCCACUGGAUAUUAUAAGGUGAAUGCACCAAUUUGUAAGUCGCUCUGGAUAAGAGCGUCUGCUAAAUGACUUAAAUGUUAAAUGUAAAUAUACAUAUGAACCUUUAACCUUCUUCCUGGACAGGUGAUCUGCUGUUUGGACUGUAGCCUUUGGGCCUCCAUGGGAUAAGUACCAGUCAUGUAUUUCCUCAAAUCAAUUUAUAUUGAUAACUGUUAUGUUUGUGUCUUUCAGAAACAGAAACGGAGACCUCGUAUUUUGUCAUCGGAGCCAUCCUUUAUCGAACCUUAGGAGUCAUCCUUCCUGCCCCCAAAGCCCCUGCUGUGAUCAACUCUAAGAUUCUGACGGUGACAGUCCGACCAGAACCCAAACCCAGUGAACCCAUGGUGGUGGUGGAGCUGUCCCCACUGCUCAAUGGCACAUCAGAUCCUCAGUGUGUUGUCUGGGACUAUGGGAACCUGUAAGUCACUUUUAUUAUCUACACACAGACACACACGCCUGCGUGCACGGAUGCACUCACACACACUUACGCACGCGCACACAUACACGCAAACUCUCAAAUACAUAUUCAAUCUGCAUGCUCAUUGCUUUUGGGUAGCCGCACUGUUGGAUGAUUGUGUGUGUGCGUGUGUGUGUGUGUGUGUGUGUGUGUGUGUGUGUGUGUGUGUGUGUGUGUGUGUGUGUGUGUGUGUGUGUGUGUGUGUGGGAUUGUGUGUGUGUGUGUGGAGCUUUUGNNNNNNNNNNNNNNNNNNNNAGGGGGGGAGGGGGGGGGUUAAUCUAAUAGCUCUGUUUUCUU